CAAGUCUUCUCUCUAUUUAUACUGCUUUAUCCUCUCUUCUCUAUAUCCCAUAAACACCGCAAGAAGGACAACUAGUACUGCUAGUGAUAAAUAAGGCUCGCUCUCUCAGUUCUCUGAGAUAUACUAGUCUAUAUGAGAGUGUCCAUGUUCUUAUCGUGCACCACUAUCAGUUGAAGCUGCCAGCAUGAUCUAAAUCUUCCUCCCUCGUUGAGGAGAGAUCAGAUCAUGUGGCAGUUUCACCCGUUGUUGGUCGCACGAGAAACCCUAAUUCUAAUUCCACCAAAAACCCUAAUUUCCAAGCUCUUAUAUCAUAUACUUAUAUGGGCUAUCAGGGUUUUCCUUGUUCAAUCCCUAGAAAAGAUCACAUCUUGGGUAUCCUUUUCUUCUGGCAUAAUCUGAAGAAUGAUGAAAGCAUGGAUGUCUAUCUUGCUUCUUUUGGUUUAUAAACAAAGCAGGGGACUCGAACUUUGAUUUGAUCAAGUCGGAAGUAUAAACGUAUUUCGUCUUCUAAUUCACUUUCUUGCACAUUUCAAGAACAAGAAGAUGAGGAUGAUUAAAGAAAUUAUUAGGAUGAAAAAGAUAAGCAUUUUGAUCUUUAUUUGCACAAAGAGAUUUCUCGUUAUAUACUUAAAGAAUUAAUUAAGGUUUUACCAACCUAGUUAUAAAUUAUGAACAUGGACGGAAAACGAAUAUGAGAAACUCGUAUCUUAAAGCUGAAAAUCACAGUAAUUCAAACUUUGAUUUGGAAAAGAAGACACUUUUUGUAGUUUGAAAUCAUCCUUUGCUUCAUUUUGACCUGAAUAUUGUGAGUUCAAUCCGAGAGAUAGCCCUAGGUAGAGAAGUGUCUGUAUAUGUCCUCCUUCAAUUGAUGCUAGAAGUCUCAAGCUCAAUAAAUAACUUGUUAAAGGAAAAAUUUACGGGUAGUUACUUAACGGAAGUGCGAUAAAGUGGCCACCAAUUGAAUAACCUAUUGACGUUAAACAUGUUUUUGUUCAUUAAAACGUCACAUAAUUCUUUAAUGCAAACGGCAUUGCAGACGGACGCACAAAGCCUAUGGUUUUAAAUUAUGAAGUAAUAGUGGUUUGGAGUUUGGCCCCCCUCUCUUUUGUUAUGAAGCUCUAAAUAGACAAGAUUCCAUACAGCUUUUAUUUUUACUGAGUACCUAAAUAAGCAAAAACGUCACCGAUUUGAUUCUCAGAACUCUUUUUUCUUCUAAGACUUGCAUUUGUCAGUUAUCAUCAAUGAAAGGUAUCAGGUGGGAGAAUCCAUUGACAAGGCCUUUGGUUACUUUCUAUUUAUGGUUUCUCUUUGUGAAUACAAUUAUGUAAAAGCAAUGGCAACGCAAUAAGUUUGCUUUUCUAAAAAGGAUCCGGAAUCCGCUCGCGUUCAAUUGUUGAAAGUGAGGUUUCAGUGGGGAAAAAAAAAAAAAAAGAGUUAGAGCUCUCUCUGGUGUAUAUUUAAAGUAUGUGUGGGAGUGAAGAGGGAAGGGGUUUAGUCUUGGUAAUAAGCAACUGGAUAUCACAUGUUUCUCUCUAGAAAAGAUAUUUGAAAUGUAUUAAUUUCAGGGCAAUAAGGUUAUAAGUUCGGACAUAGCCGGAGCCAAUUAAAAGAUAUUUGGAGUGUUUAUUGGCAAUGUAACUUAAGUUAUCUUAGUUAGAUGUCUGUUUUUACCCUUUUGAAACUCAGUUUAGUUUGAUUAAGUCUUGCUUUUUGAUUCUGCUGGAGUUAGAUGUCUCUUUGGCCAGCAUCAUCCAAUGAGAUGGUUUAUCCUUGCCCAAAAAAUAAUAAUAAAAAAUCAACAGACUUGAAUCUA